UGUUGUUCUGUGAACAAAUGUACCAAACACACAAAUUUGAAAAUGCAAUGGGUACUAGAGAUGUGAGUGCUAUCAACACUGUUUUAACUCUUACAGCCCUUGUACUCUUCAUAGUGACAAACCACGCAGUGAACACAGAGGCAGAGGACAAGAUAGAGUCCAACGUCCUGGUGACUUCUUCGCUUACCUGGAAUGCCAUGGCAACAUUCAUCUUUUGGUAUGGUCGGGGAUUGACAUGAUCGGGUGUCAGCUUAGGGCAAGCUUUUAAGGCUGUUCCUCAGACACUUUAUCAGAUGUGGAAAGUCGGAUGUGAACCAGAGCCGCCUUGCAAAGUCACUGGGAUGAGUCCAGCUAACUGCACUGGUGUCAACUCCAAAGUGAGUCCACAUGUUCCGAUUCCAUGAUGCCCCGUCUGUUGUGACGACAUCAACCAAAAGACCUGCCCUCUCCAGGAGUAACACACACUCAAGGACAAGUUUGUGAAGAACAUUUCCAGGCGCACUUCCCUUGCUAAGAAAGCAUGCCAAGGCUUGCACCCACUUGCCUCGGAAUGGCUGGAACAUGAAGACAAGUGCAUGAUCUCCCUUUUUGUUCUUCUGAUGGUCAGAUAGCCAAGAUAAAUAACAUUCAGCUCCCAUCACUCAAGAAUUGAAGUCACUGAUUCUUGCACAAGUAGCAGUAGUUGCAUGUUUUGCUUAGUUUGGUAAAGACUAAUUAAAUAAAACACGAAAUAACAA